GAUGAAGAACGUAGCGAAAUGCGAUACUUGGUGUGAAUUGCAGAAUCCCGUGAACCAUCGAGUCUUUGAACGCAAGUUGCGCCUCAAGCCAUUAGGUUGAGGGCACGUCUGCCUGGGCGUCACAUAUCGUUGCCUGAUGCCAGUUUCCUCGUGAUGGGUGACUGUGCAGGGCGAAUGAUGGCUUCCCGUGAGCAUUGUUGCCUCAUGGUUGGUUGAAAAUUGAGUCCUUGGUAGGGAGCGCCGUGAUAGAUGGUGGUUGAGUGACGAACGAGACCCAAUCAUGUGAGUCCACUACCGAAUUUGGCCUUCAUGACCCACAUGCGUCUUUGGAACGCUCAUGACGAGACCUCAGGUCAGGCGGGGCUACCCGCUGAGUUUAAGCAUAUCAAUAAGCGGAUGA
rnacentral:misc_RNA from 1 species